rnacentral:rRNA from 1 species
AGUGAACGCUGGCGGUAGGCCUAACACAUGCAAGUCGAACGGCAGCACAGUAAGAGCUUGCUCUUACGGGUGGCGAGUGGCGGACGGGUGAGGAAUACAUCGGAAUCUACUUUUUCGUGGGGGAUAACGUAGGGAAACUUACGCUAAUACCGCAUACGACCUACGGGUGAAAGCAGGGGAUCUUCGGACCUUGCGCGAUUGAAUGAGCCGAUGUCGGAUUAGCUAGUUGGCGGGGUAAAGGCCCACCAAGGCGACGAUCCGUAGCUGGUCUGAGAGGAUGAUCAGCGACACUGGAACUGAGACACGGUCCAGACUCCGACGGGAGGCAGCGGUGGGGAAGAGUGGACAAUGUGGGGAAUACUGAUCCAGCCAUGCCGCGUGGGUGAAGAAGGGCUUCGGGUUGUAAAGCCCUUUUGUGGGGAAAGAAAAGCAGCAGGUUAAUACCCCGCUGUUCUGACGGUACCCAAAGAAGAAGCACCGGCUAACUUCGUG